CAUCUCAUCUAGUCGGGUCUCGUUAGGUCUUCACAUCUCAUCUAGUCGGGUCUCGUUAGGUCUUAACAUCUCAUCUAGUCGGGUCUCGUUAGGUCUUAACAUCUCGUCUAGUCGGGUCUUGUUAGGUCUUAACAUCUCGUCUAGUCAGGACUUGACAUCUCAUCUAGUCGGGUCUCGUUAGGUCUUCACAUCUCAUCUAGUCGGGUCUCGUUAGGUCUUCACAUCUCAUCUAGUCGGGUCUCGUUAGGUCUUAACAUCUCGUCUAGUCGGGUCUUGUUAGGUCUUAACAUCUCGUCUAGUCAGGACUUGACAUCUCAUCUAGUCGGGUCUCGUUAGGUCUUCACAUCUCAUCUAGUCGGGUCUCGUUAGGUCUUAACAUCUCAUCUAGUCGGGUCUCGUUAGGUCUUAACAUCUCAUCUAGUCGGGUCUCGUUAGGUCUUGUCCUGUGUUCCCUUCAAACACCGUCUGCAACGCAUAA